UACGUAGGGGGCAAGCGUUGUCCGGAUUUAUUGGGCGUAAAGAGCUCGUAGGUGGUUCGGUAAGUCGGAUGUGAAAUCUCCAGGCUCAACCUGGAGGGGUCAUUCGAUACUGCCGUGACUAGAGGUCGGUAGGGGAGUGUGGAAUUCCUGGUGGAGCGGUGAAAUGCGCAGAUAUCAGGAGGAACACCCGUAGCGAAGGCGGCACUCUGGGCCUUUCCUGACGCUGAGACGCGAAAGCGUGGGGAGCGAACCGG
rnacentral:rRNA from 1 species